rnacentral:lncRNA from 1 species
CUCUCUCUCUCAGUUUAAAAAAUUGUAAACAAAAUUUGGACAUUGAUCCUUGCUCAUCUCCUUGAGUCAAAUAAUUCAUUGUGUUGAGAUCCUUGUUAGAUAGGUCACUCUCCUUUAGUUGAGCAUUCUUGUAAAAAUUGUUGCGAGUCUCACUCUCUCUCUACUCUUCUCCAAACUUUGCAUCGCACAAACAGCAGCGCAAUAAACAGGCCCUUAUAAGUCAAGGAGCCAAGUCCAAUAGAAACAGGCACGAUGGUAUAUGAUUUUCAAUUUUCAAGCUUGGCCUUUUUUGAGACUCAGAGAGCUUGUAUCUAAUGCUGGCAAAUCAAUCUAUUACUGAGCUUCUAUUAUUUUUGGCUGGCUUAGAAUUCAGAAAAAAGGAAGACGGAAAGGGUGCUGUUGGCAUAUGGACACUUCCGUAGGUGUAGAGGUAAGGUGCCUUUCAAAUUUUAUCAUGGUAUAUAGCUUUGAUGUAAAAUGUUUUUAAGAUUAUUUCAAAAUCUAUUUUUAUAUCUAAUUAUAAAAGUUUAAAUUUCAAAAAUAGUUAAAAUCAAGUAGAUUUAUUAACAUAUGAAAAUUUUGAAAACGGACGGUGUAGAUAAUAUAGUGUAAAAUGUACUAUUUUUUAGAGUUAAAAUCUUUGUAUUUUUCGAUGUUGAGAUGAUCAAUCAAAGGAUUUUUCAACAUUAAAAAAUUCCAAUGGAUUUUUGAGGGGCAUCCGUAGUUCUACAAGGUAGCAUCCUUAUAUAAACUUGCUCUUUUAUUUAAGCAAAAGCAAAAUAAAAUUUUCCUUCCAUCUCAUUCUCUUACCUACUCAUCUCUCUCUCCUUAAAAUAUAAGCAAAAGCAAAAUAAAUAUUGAUUUUCUUUCUAUCUCAAUUUCUUACGUACUCAUCUUCCUCUCUUUAAAAUAUGAAAACCUAUUUUUUCACCUUGAUUUUCUCUUCAUCUUUCUCUCACAAUUUUCUCUACAUGUUCUCUCUAUCACGUAUCUCUCUUCCCCUCUCCCUCUCUCCCUUAAAAGAUAGGGAUUAAAGUUAAGAUAGGCACCUGAAGUUUUUUUAUGGCAAAGGUUUUUAGGCUUUCCAUACAAUAUAGAAGUUUUAUUCUCUUUUUAUCAUCCAGCAGUCCAAUUUUGAUUAAGAGAGCCACUUACCGUAUGAUCUUAUAUCCGAUGUCAAAGUUUUUUAUUUUUGGUUUUUUUUAUACAACUUGUAUGAAUAUGAAAUUUGGUAGGUGUCACCUUCUCAUUGGGGUGCACCUAUAAAAACUAUUAAAAAUAAUUUUUCGAUAAAAUAUAAUUUGAUGUGAAAAUAGUUUGUAGAAAAAAUUUUUUAAAUAAAAUAGUAUAAAGAUGUGACAUUGUGAUUGGGACAAUCUUAGCCCUCCAUUCAGAAUGGACAGUUGGAUAAGGGAAAUGAUAGAACUUCUAUGCUACAGGGAAAGCAUAGAAAGCUUGCCUUUUUAUUAUCAUUUAGAAGUUUUAGAGAUAGGGUUCUAUUUUAUUUUUGUGACAUGUAGUCGUCCCUUAAUUUGGGCUUAAUUGAUCAUGGAUAUCUUGUAUACCGAGAAUAAUAAAUAAUAGAUAUCUUGCAUACCGAGAAAAUUAAUGCAGGUAAAUAUGUGCAAAAUAGAAAAAGUAAAGGUGGGCUUUUUGUAUUCAUUGGGUGGUUGUUUUAGAGAGAGAAAAACAAUGUUUUAAGGGUUGUGAGAGAGUGGUAAACUCGACUCCUCAUGCUUGCACAUUUUUCUCGUUAGUAGAAAACAAGUUUGAUGCCUCGUUAACAUAAGCAAUUGUCGAACUUAAUAUUUAUUUUUCCACUUUUUUAAUUUAAUUUUGUACACAAAUUCUCUUCUUUUUUAUUUUUAAAAAAUGUAUACAAUGAUACCGUUUAUUUUUUAAACAAAGAAGUCACAAUCAUCAUUGACCAUUAAAUUUAAAAUCGGGGAGGUUCAGGAUGUGUCAUUGUUUAGGCAUAAGUCCAAAAUAAAAAUUUUUAAAUGUUGCGACACUUUCAUCUAUUGGAUUUUACAUCCAAUGGCUAAAAAUGCUUGACACUACCUUGUAUCAAAAAUAAAAAGUCCCAUAGUAUAUAAUACUUUAUUUUGACUCUAAACUUAUUUUUUUCCUCGGGAGAAGUGUGUCGUCCUUCCAUUCAAGCUUAUUGAACAACGAGACUAUGUCCAUCCUCAAGAACUUGGAAACAAGAGUUUUCACAAACUUGCCAAGCUUUUUUUCAUCAUCUUUGAAUCUUUUGAGACCUUUCAUCUAUUGGAUUUCACAUCCACUUUCAUCUAUAGGAUUUCACAUCCAAUAGCUAAAAAUGCUUGAGACUGCCUUGUAUCAAAAAUAAAAAUUCUCAGAGUAUAUAAUACUUUAUUUUGACUCUAAACUUAUUUUUUAUCCUCGGGAGAAGUGUGUCGUCCUUCCAAUUCAAGCUUAUUGAGCAACGAGAUCAUGUCCAUCCUCAAGAACUUGAAGACAUGAGUUUUCACAAACUUGCCGAGCUUUUUUUCAUCGUCUUUGAAUCUUUUGAGAUCUUUCAUUUAUUGGAUUUCACAUCCACUUGCAUCUAUUGGAUUUCACAUCCAAUGGCUAAAAAUGCUUGACACUGCCUUGUUUCAAAAUAAAAAGUCUUAUAGUAUAUAAUACUUUAUUUUGACUCUAACUUAUUUUUAUCCUCAAGAGAAGUGUGUCGUCCUUCCAUUCAAACUUAUUGAGCAACGAGACCAUGUCCAUCCUCAAGAACUUGGAGACAUGAGUUUUCACAAACUUGCCGAGCUUUUUUUCAUCGUCUUUGAAUCUUUUGAGACCUAAAAUUACAAAGAAAGAGCCUCUUCUCCUAUUAGUUUCUUCCCUCCAUUGAGGUCCACUAGGGGAUUCGAACCUCGUCAAGGUUGAACUUUAUAUGUUAAGACUAACUGGAAGGGUAUUCCAACACAUGUGGUUUAUAUUUGAGGCAUUAAUAUAGUUAAAUAAAAAACAUGAUGUACAACCUACUUCUAAAACUUUCAUCGCUCAUAGGGCGAGGCUGAGUUACUCUGCCGAGUCCGAAAGGCCUUGACCAAGUCUUAAAACGCUGAGCAUAUCACUACGAACCCUAAGAAUAGUUAGCCAUGAUUCAUCAAAUGUGUUAGGAUUUAAGAAUCCUCUUAGAUGCCGAAACGGGAAUCCCAAAAGUUGGAUGCUACCAACAUCGUGUACUUAUCCAACUAGAAACAAAAUAGAAGAGAGCACGAGCCAUAAUACGAGCAAUAAAGCAUGAAAUACACACGUCAGAAAGAGACACAUCUCUAUUCCACAACUAAACCAUUGUCCAAUAAGAGACCCUUGAUAGCAAUUGAGACUUUCUCUCACUUAAAGAGGAAACCACCCAAAAUCUUCAUGGGAAAUUCUUCUUUUCAAGAAAUCAGCAUCUCAAUCUACAUGAGAUACAUCCAUAGUGUUUCUCUCCACAUAAAGCUCUCUUCUCUCAAAAGAGAGGCCUUGCCAAUGAUGCAGAGGAGGCUCUGCUUUUCGAUUUAAAGGAAGUUACCUUUCCCUCUCUUUAGAGGAAGUCACCUUUCCCAUUUCGUGACCAAAAUAGGGCACACAUAGUCUUUAAUCUUUCAUCCCAAAUAUAUAAGAUUAGGACUCCAUACUAAAUAGGAAACUUCCUAUAAAUGGUACAUAUAUCUCAAAAUCAGGAGAUAUACACAAGAGUAUUAAUCUUAUUUGAUUCCUAUUUUCUUUAGGAAACUUAUUAAUAUCAAUGCAUCCCACAUAAUAUGUUAUUUCCUUAUCUGUGUGAUUUUGGAUACACCAUAUCUAACAAUCUCCACCUUGAUUAAAAUCACUUGCUCACCAUGCCAACAUCCAUUAUAUAUCCAUUAGAUAACUUUAUGAAUUCUUCAUCUUUUGUCAAACAAAUUAUUUUAUCUUUAUUGCGGGUAAACAGUGCUUUCAAUAAAACAUUCGCAUACUUUGUCAUGUGUUUUUCGUUAAACAAAUGCACAAACUCUAGCUUUGUAAUGAACUAUUGGCUAUGAUAUCAAUUGGGGGAUCAAAACCAAGGUUUGGCAAAAAUAAGAGAAAGAAAAAUAGCACAGAAAAGUAAAAGAAUAAAGGCACAAAAAUUUAUGUAGUUUGACAAGUUGCCUACGUCUACAGGAUAGCAAAGUUCUUUUCCAUUAAUAAAAAAAUACUAUGCAAGCAUGGAGAAUACAAGUGAAUACAAGCUAUCUCUCUCUCUUUCUCUCUCUCUCUCUCUCNNNNUCUCUCUCUCUCUCUCUCUCUCUCUNNNNNNNNNNNNNNNNNNNNNNNNNNNNNNGUAGUCUACGUACUACACGAGUAGUACAAGUUACUUUACUUACUUAAUAAAAAUAAACUAAUAGCAGACAUAGAGAAGUAACUAACGUAGUAAUACAACACUACUCUCUCUCUCUUCUCUCUCUCUCUCUCUCUCUCUCUCUCUCUCUCUCUCUUUCUCUCUCUCUCUCUAUCUCUCAAAAGCCCUAAAACAUGGUCUUUUUCUCACUAGAAUACCCACCCAAAUACUAAAAAAAUGAACCAUUUUCUCUCUCUUAUUUGCAUCUCACUUUUUUCAUGUGUAUUUUUCUCUCUACAAAACUCUAUUUAUAAAGAGUAACCCAUUAGAGCCCAACAUAAUUCUUUCUCCUAUUUUGAUUACGUCGCCGAUUUCCCAUAGUUUUCCUAUAUCUAAUAGGAGUUAAGAAAUGUUUUGUCUCCCAUUACGAUCCACCUGAUUUCCAUAUCUAAAUCAUAAGAUCUUCUUAAGGAUAAGGAAUACAUCAACACCCUCAAAAUAAGGAAACUACCCAAGAAUAUUGCGUACCACCUUUUCCCAUAUCCAUAUGGUUUCAACUCCUAUAAAAUAGGAUUAUCAUAUAUAUGAGAAAUCUAGGUAGUUAUUAAAUAUGUGAAGUUCUCUAAAAAUAGGAAACAAGGGCUUCAUGUACAAUAUUGUCCCACUUGAAGACAUGUUUUCAUUCUAACUAGUCCACUCCAAGAAACCUCUGCACAUCAGUUACUAAUUAUCAAGUAACCACAAGCCUUGAGGAAGUCCUGCAGCAAGUGAACUCUGCCUUCCCAAUGGGCUUAAGCAACAAAUAUGUUGGAUUGUCAUCAAUAUGAAAUUUUUGCAAUAAAUUAUUUUCAUCUUCUACCACAUCAUGAAUAAAAUGAUAUUGAACAUUAAUAUGUUUGGUUAUAUCAUGGAAGGUUAGAUUUCUUGCUAGAAACUGUAAAGAUUAUCAGUACCAAUAAUAUUCAGUUUCUCCCUAUUUGCGGUGAUAAUCUGACCAUGACCUUGGUAUGGUUUAGUAGAUUGUGGACUUGUGUGCACUCCAGUCAUAUGAUUAGAGACACCCAAUUCAAUAAACCAAAGGGGAUUUACACUAGGGGAUAGGUGAGAGUUCAUACUAGAUAAACUCAUAGCAUAGAAAGCAGAAGAGAUAGCCGUAGACACAGAGUUUUGUACCAAUUGUCGAAUAUCAUUUGAUAUAGUUGAUAUCUGGGACACUGUCAUAUUUGGGUCAUGAAUAGUACUUGAUGGGGGUCUCUACCAUUAGUCCCUUAGAUGCAUCAUAAGCAACUUGGUAUGCCUUGUAAAAAGGUUUCCGUGUAUCUAAUGCCUGGUUGCUUCGUUGAGAACGAUCGCGAUACUCUGUGAUAAUAUACCCAAGACGUUUGCAGUAAGUACAAAAAAAUUUCUUCUUGCAAUGGGAUGCAAUAUGACCAUACUCUUUACAUUCAUAACAUUGCAGCAAAGAUGAACCCUUUUGUGAUGGUUUUUCUCCAGCUCACUGAGCCACAAGGACAUACUCUAUAUCCUUCUUUCCCUUAAUGGUGGCCUGUGUCGUAAUUCUUGUCUUCACACGAAUAAAGUCACCCAUAAUGGCAUCCAUAUUGGCUAAUGUUUCGCGAUUCAAAAUAUUGGUUCGAAUAAUCUCAUAUUAUGGGCGCAACUUCAUUAGAAGCUGCAUCACUUUCCUGUCAUCAUUUAUCUCCUUUAAGCUUGUAAUGCAAUUCUUCGUGAACAUUUGAAAGAGACAGUAUAUAUGCGACCUCUUCUUGGGUAUUGCCAUGAUAAAUUUAUGGUAUGUCACUUGAAAAAAUCCUGCGAAUCUAAUAUAUGUGGGACAACUUGUCGAUGACGGUUACAGUGUUUAAUUUUCUUGUGAUGGUUGUGUAAUACAGGACCUACGCACUGCAGAGUGAAAGAAAAGGGGCAUAGAAUUGGUCGUUUGUUUGCCUUAGAGUUUGAAAAACUAAACCGUGAUGCUCAUUUAUUUUUUCCAUCGAAUUCUGUUAUUUUUGUUUCUGAUAAAUAAUUACAUAUGUGGCAUCGGAGACUUGGUCAUCCGAAUACAAAUAAAUUAGAUACUUUGUUUCGUUCUGGUUCAUUGCCCAAUAAAGCACUAGCUUUAAAUUUUAUUAAUAAAUCUAUGUAUUAGUUGUUCAUUGAAUAAAAACAGUAGUUUACCUUCUCUGACUCGAGUAGAGAAAGCAACUGCACCUUUCCAUCUUAUUCAUAGUGAUGUAUGGGGUCAUACACCAAUUUUAUCCAGAAUGUGAUACAAGUAUUUUGUUUUGUUCAUUGAAGAUUGUACAUGAUAUAUCUGGAUAUACUUUAUGUGCCAUAAAUUUGAAGUGUUCUCCCAUUUUAAAACAUUUUUAUCCAUGAUUGCAACUCAGUUAAAUACAAGAUAAAAUAUUUAACUAUCUCUAUAGAAACAGUGUACUAGUUAUCACAAUAAAGAAGAAUACCUUCUUGCACAACUCGAAAUUCACCAAGUACCUUGUUUAGCUAAAUUGUUUCUUUAGAUGCAUGAGUAAGUAACAUAUACUCAACCUCUAUAAAAGAUAAAGCCACCAUAGGCUGCAACCUCGAUAACCAACUAACUGCACAACCUCCCAAAAAAAUAUAUAUAUACAGUAGUAGACCUUCUUUUAUCCAAGUCACCUGCUCACCAUGCCAACAUCCAUUGGAUAGCUUUAUAAAUUCUUCAUCUUUUGCCAAAUAAAUUCUUUCAUCAUUCUUGCUAGAAAAUAGUGCUUUCAGUCAUAUUUCUUCAGUUCAAAUAAAACACUUGCAUACUUUAUCAUGUACUUUCCUUCAACCGAAUGCAUAAAUACUAGCUUUUUACUGAUCCAUGGUUGCUGAUACCACUUGUUAAGAUUUAAGGACUCUCUUAGUUGCAAAUACUGGAAUCCCAAAAGUUGGAUCCCACCAAGAUCGUGUACUUAUCCAGGCAGAAACAAAAUAGGAGAGAGCAUGAGUCAUAACACGAUAAAUAAAGCAUGAAACACAUAAGGCACAAGAACACAGAUUUACAUGGUUUACCCCAAGAGGGCUACAUCUACGAGUAUGAUAAAUUGAAAUCUACUAUACCAAUGAAAGUUACAUCAUAGAUUUUUUGAUAUAAAAUUACCUCUCUAACCCUCAAUAAAUCCCAGUCGAGCAAACCCUUCUAGACCCCGCUCUUCUGAUCGGCACGACCUAUCAAUCUAUCAUCUCUAUUCUAUAGCUAAAUUAUUGUCCAAGAGGUGACUCAUCUCUAUUCCACAACUAAACAGAGAGUCAUUUGAGAGCAACUGAGACUUUCUCUCACUAAAAGGGGAAACUACCCUAAACUCUUCAUGUGAACCACUUCUAUUUAAGAAACCAGCCUCUCAACUACAUCCAUGGUGUUUAUCUCCACAGGAAACUCUCUUCUCUCAAAGGGGAGGCUUUGCCCUGAUGCAGAGGAGGCCCUACCUCUCUGUUUAGAGGAAGCCACAUUUCCCAUAUGGUGACCCAAAUAAGGCACAUAUAGUCUUUCAUCUUUCAUCCCAUAUAUAUAAAGUUAGGACUUCAUACUAAAUAGGAAACUUCCUAUAGAUGUUACAUAUAUCUCAAAAUCAAGAUAUAUACCCAAGUGUCCUAAUCGUGUUGGAUUUUUAUUUCCUCUAAAAAACUUAUCAACAUCAACCUUAAUCUCAUAUAAUAUGGGAUCUCCUUAUAUGGGUGAUUUUGGGUAUCACCAUAUCCAACAAAAUGUUUCAGAGAAUGAUGGAAAUUGUGUAAUAUGAGUGAGAGAGAGAGAUCAUAAAAAUCACUUUCUCCCUCGUUUCUUCACUAAAAAUCACAAAAUGAGUAUCAAUUUUUUUGUAAAAGUACUAUAUCAAAACUUGUAUAGAUAAUUAAUAUCAAUAGACACUCACACAAGAAAUGACAUCGCAAUUUUCACGUAUUUUUGCAAAGGACACAAUUCCCCUUCUAAAAUUUAUUUUUGGCAUGGAAUUUUUUACCCAAUUUUAAGGGCAUAUAAUCUCCAACAUGGAUAUCAUGAUUAUGAAUAACUUUAAAAAUAAAAAUAAAAAAUAAACAAUAUUUUAUGAAUAAAACCUUUGGAUCGUUAGUUUCAACUGUUUUUAGAUGAACCAUUCAUUUGCAUCCAUCUUUAAGAUGUAUGUUUUAUACCUCGGGGGACUCAAAUGCAAUCCCCAACACAUGAAACAAUUUUCUUUUUGCAAAAUAAUGAAAAGGCAUGAUGCACUACCACCUUCUCCUUGGAAACUCAAAAAACAAUAUUUUUAGUGAUUUUUGAAAAUUUUUAAGGUUAGAUCAAGCCGAUUCUCCGAUCUGGACUACCAAUCCGACCCAAUUUUUUGGAUGGAUGAUGCCGUUCACCUUUUUAUUUUGAAAACCUUACUCAUGAGUAUUUGUAAGUAUGUGUGUAUAUAUCUACACUACAUUAUUAAGCCAGAGUUAAGGGGCGACGUAUAUAAAAAUAAAAAGGGCCCUAAUUCUAUGGAGAUGGUAUGACUCAUUCCUAUAUUGAGAGAUGAGUAUGCAUCUAUUUUAGGAGGAAGAGAGUGAGAGUAUGCGCCUAUUUUAAUAUGGGAGAAUCAUAUUUAAGAGAGAGAAAGAUUCUUAUCAUAGUUAGGAGAAGAGAGAGAGAGGGGGAGAGAAAUGUCGACAAGAAUCUAAGAGUUGAGGGAGAGAGAGAGAGAGAAUUAGUGGAUAGAUACCUUUCCAUCUUUAGGAAGGGAGAGAGAAACUCAAGUUGCCCAGUCGGUAUACCCGAAAUGGCCCCAAUUAUGGGUCAACGUUUUGGACAUACAGGUAGGGUCUCGAUCUAAUAAAAGAAAUACGCGGAUAAUCUUGGGUCUGGAUCCAAUAAAGAAAAUACUUAUAUAAUCCCGGGUCCGAAUACGGAUCUUGUUAUACCUAACCUAACUCCCUCGCUUCUUUUAUGGAGCUUACACCCCAAUGACUCUAUAAUCAUCGAUGUGGCAUUAAUCCCUUGCACGGGUAAGCUUAGUUUAUACUCAAAUAGUUCCAUAUGUAAGAAAUGGUUUUUUAUUUUUCAAUUAUCAUGUUUAUACAAAUGCGAUCUCUGAGAAACUUCAGAGAGAUGCUUCUUGUUCAUUGAAAAAGCCUCCCCUUUUCCCUCAUUAACUCUAGAGCGAUUGUGCUCUGAUCUUGGUGAUUUCAAUUGGAUUUCUAAGUCUAAGCUAUUGACAUUUCCUCUUUUGAAGGAUCGGUUCUUCUGGCUUUGGGUUUUGAGUAUCUUGGGCCGUUGUUUCUCUCAGAAAUGGCAAUUCCGUCGCCAUUACUUGCUUGAAACUGAAAACCCAUGAUUUAUUGUUGGUAGGUUUGUUGUUUUUUUGCAGGCCGUCAAUGGAUUAAUGGAGAUGGAGAGAGAAGGUUUGAUGGACAUGGGACAGCUCCAUAACCAGACUGGACUGGUUCUCUGUCAUGGCUGGAAAGUCGCAGAAAUUAAAGGGAAAGAAUGGAACUACUUUCAUGCAGCCCCCCAAAAGCUGGCCCUUAAUAUCGACAAAUGUGAACUAUAAAUUCCAUCUCUAAGAUCACUUCUCUCUCUGUAAAAUCUAGGGACUUCUCUCUGUUUGUCUCACUCCAACAACCCAAGCACCCUAUCAAUCUCGCUCUACACCAAAUCUGCUUGAAGGAGAGAGAAACAAGAGAAAGAGAGAAAUGGAAAGAAAAUCAAUGAGAUAGACAAACUCAAGGGAGAGAAGUACCGUGUGAGAAGAGAAAAAAUAAAGAAGAGAGAUCAUUGAAAAUUGGUCCAAGUGAAGGGUUCUUUUUAAUUUUAGAUAAAGG